rnacentral:rRNA from 1 species
GAUGAACGCUGGCGGCGUGCCUAAUACAUGCAAGUCGAGCGAACGGACGAGAAGCUUGCUUCUCUGAUGUUAGCGGCGGACGGGUGAGUAACACGUGGAUAACCUACCUAUAAGACUGGGAUAACUUCGGGAAACCGGAGCUAAUACCGGAUAAUAUUUUGAACCGCAUGGUUCAAAAGUGAAAGACGGUCUUGCUGUCACUUAUAGAUGGAUCCGCGCUGCAUUAGCUAGUUGGUAAGGUAACGGCUUACCAAGGCAACGAUGCAUAGCCGACCUGAGAGGGUGAUCAGCCACACUGGAACUGAGACACGGUCCAGACUCCUACGGGAGGCAGCAGUAGGGAAUCUUCCGCAAUGGGCGAAAGCCUGACGGAGCCACGCCGCGUGAGUGAUGAAGGUCUUCGGAUCGUAAAUCUCUGUUAUUAGGGAAGAACAUAUGUGUAAGUAACUGUGCACAUCUUGACGGUACCUAAUCAGAAAGCCACGGCUAACUACGUG